CCUACGGGGUGCAGCAGUGAGGAAUAUUGGUCAAUGGGCGGAAGCCUGAACCAGCCAAGUCGCGUGAGGGAUUAAGGCCCUAUGGGUCGUAAACUUCUUUUGUCAGGGAGUAAGGUCGUCCACGUGUGGGCGUAUGGAGAGUACCUGAAGAAAAAGCAUCGGCUAACUACGUGCCAGCAGCCGCGGUAUUACGUAGGUGGCAAGCGUUGUCCGGAUUUAUUGGGUGUAAAGGGCGUGUAGCCGGGAAGGCAAGUCAGAUGUGAAAUCCGGAGGCUCAACCUCCGAAUUGCAUUUGAAACUGUUUUUCUUGAGUACUGGAGAGGCAGACGGAAUUCCUGGUGUAGCGGUGAAAUGCGUAGAUAUAAGGAGGAACACCGGUGGCGAAGGCAGUCUGCUGGACAGCAACUGACGGUGAGGCGCGAAAGCGUGGGGAGCAAACAGGAUUAGAUACCCCAGUAGUC
rnacentral:rRNA from 1 species